rnacentral:tRNA from 1 species
UCACAAAUAGCUCAAUGGUAGAGCACCUGACUGUUAAUCAGGUGGUUGAAGGUUCAAAUCCUUCUUUGUGAA